ACUACCCAAGGACAGCAGAGAAGAGGGGAUACAUGCUCCCAGACAGGGUGGGCAAGGAGCCCUAAGGAACAGGAUUGGUCCCAGCAGACGAAAAGUGGACAACAAGAAAAGGCCUGGGAGCAGUAAUGACCAAUAAUGGUCACUUACCUGGAGCUCUAGAAGCUAUGGCAGUGUCUGGAACAGAGUAGGCAUCCAGAAAUGAAUAUUGAUCCCCAGGCAGAUCAUACCUUUAGAAAGGUAGCUCACUGAGAGGAGCUAAGAUGGC